CCCUCUCCCAAUACUAGGGACCUUAAGCAUGUACGACGGCAACGCCACGACGACAGCCAAAACAACUUCUUCAUAUAAAUUAUUGCGAAGAGGAGUUGUUGUGUAUUAUCCACUGCAUGCAUGUAUAUAUGAACUGAGUUCAGUUUGAAGAGAUUAAAACAAAGGCUUUAUGGUUAAAAACGCUUUUACUGAGCAAAUUUGUAGUUUCACUUGUCGCGUCUUGACAUGUUUGCGUUGUACACGAGACGUGAAAAUCUCUGGUUUGCCGUUGUAAAAAGCCCUAACACAACGCCUCUAACUCCCGUGGGGCUUUUAAUUAUUCAUUUCUUUUGUACGAGAUCAGGAAUAUCAUUGUGUGAAUAACCGUCGUCGCCGCGUUGCCGUCCUGUUUGCUUAAGGUCCCUACUG